rnacentral:rRNA from 1 species
CCUACGGGCGGCAGCAGUGGGGGAUAUUGCACAAUGGGCGAAAGCCUGAUGCAGCGACGCCGCGUGAGGGAAGACGGUCUUCGGAUUGUAAACCUCUGUCUUUGGGGAAGAAUAGAGACGGUACCCAACGAUGAAGCUCCGGCUAACUACGUGCCAGCAGCCGCGGUAAUACGUAGGGAGCGCGCGUUGUCCGGAAUUACUGGGUGUAAAGGGAUCGUAGGCGGGCUUGUAAGUUGAAUGUCAAGUCCACCGGCUCAACCGGUGAUCGCGUUCAAAACUGCAGGUCUUGAGUUGAGUAGAGGCAGGCGGAAUUCCUAGUGUAGCGGUGAAAUGCGUAGAUAUUAGGAGGAACACCAGUGGCGAAGGCAGCCUGCUGGGCUUUCACUGACGCUGAGGCUCGAAAGCGUGGGGAUCAAACAGGAUUAGAUACCCCUGUAGUC